rnacentral:rRNA from 1 species
AAACCAACAGGGAUUGCCUCAGUAACGGCGAGUGAAGCGGCAACAGCUCAAAUUGAAAUCUGGCUCUUUUAGAGUCCGAGUUGUAAUUUGCAGAGGGCGCUUCGGCGUUGGCAGCGGUCCAAGUUCCUUGGAACAGGACGUCACAGAGGGUGAGAAUCCCGUACGUGGUCGCUAGCCAUCGCCGUGUAAAGCCCCUUCGACGAGUCGAGUUGUUUGGGAAUGCAGCUCUAAAUGGGAGGUAAAUUUCUUCUAAAGCUAAAUACUGGCCAGAGACCGAUAGCGCACAAGUAGAGUGAUCGAAAGAUGAAAAGCACUUUGGAAAGAGAGUCAAAUAGCACGUGAAAUUGUUGAAAGGGAAGCGCUUGCAGCCAGACUUGCCUGUAGUUGCUCAUCCGGGCUUUUGCCCGGUGCACUCUUCUGCGGGCAGGCCAGCAUCAGUUUGGGCGGUUGGAUAAAGGUCUCUGUCAUGUACCUCUCUUCGGGGAGAACUUAUAGGGGAGACGACAUACAACCAGCCUGGACUGAGGUCCGCGCAUUUGCUAGGAUGCUGGCGUAAUGGCUGUAAGCGGCCCGUCUUGAAACACGGACCAAGGAGUCUAACAUCUAUGCGAGUGUUUGGGUGUCAAGCCCGAGCGCGUAAUGAAAGUGAACGGAGGUGGGACCCCUUUUAGGGUGCACCAUCGACCGAUCCUGAUGUCUUCGGAUGGAUUUGAGUAAGAGCAUGGCUGUUGGGACCCGAAAGAUGGUGAACUAUGCUUGAAUAGGGUGAAGCCAGAGGAAACUCUGGUGGAGGCUCCGCAGCGGUUCUGACGUGCAAAU